AAGGCUCACGGGUCGUAAACUCCUUUUCUCAGAGAAGAUGCAAUGACGGUAUCUGAGGAAUAAGCAUCGGCUAACUCUGUGC
rnacentral:rRNA from 1 species